rnacentral:rRNA from 1 species
GUCGAGAAUUUUUCUCAAUGGGGGAAACCCUGAAGGAGCGACGCCGCGUGGGGGAUGAAGGGCUUCGGCUCGUAAACCCCUGUCAUUUGUGAGCAAGUGUUAUUGUUUAAGAGAUGAUGACAUUGAUAGUAGCAAAAGAGGAAGGGACGGCUAACUCUGUGCCAGCAGCCGCGGUAAUACAGAGGUCCCAAGCGUUGUUCGGAAUCACUGGGCGUAAAGGGUGCGUAGGCGGUAUAGUAAGACUUGGGUGAAAUCUCCAUGCUUAACGUGGAGGGAGCCUGGGAGACUGCUGUGCUAGAGGAUUGGAAGGGAGACUGGAAUUCUUGGAGUAGCAGUGAAAUGCGUAGAUAUCAAGAGGAACACCAGUGGCGAAGGCGAGUCUCUGGACAAGACCUGACGCUGAGGCACGAAGGCCAGGGGAUCAAACGGGAUUAGAUACCCGGGUAGUCC